AGCGUAUAGUGGAGCAGAGUCGUCGUUCGUGUGGCGGUGCGCGACCGUAGACGAAGGGGGGAUCCCGAGAUAAGUCGAUCCUGAUUGGUGCCAAGACAUGUAAUACAACCGGCCAGAAAGAAGAAGGGAAAUCUUUAUAGUCGCUCAAGAUGGCGCCCGUGUACGGAGGAGAAGCACAGACAUAUAUAUGUGUUUUCUUUUUGACCGCUUUGUUUUUUUUUUCCUUUCUUUCUGCUGUCCUAUUUCUUUUGUUCUUUUUCUCCUGUCUUUGCAACUUGCACAGGAUAUAUCUAUGGCCCAGUCUGUUGUUUCCUGUUCCCUUCAUUCCAUUACUGUUGGCUCCGCCCCAGCACAGGAGCAAUACGCCAAAGCAGAGCGGCAUAACAGAUACGCAACGAAUGGAUAUAAAAGAAAAAAAAACCUGUCCGAUUGAAUGAGGAAAACGCGUCUCACCAGCAGCCAGCCUACUAUAUAAGGAACAACACACACACACACACACACACACACACACACCAAAACUAUAUACAAUCCGGCAGCUGAUUGCAAUUCCAGUCGUGUCCCGCUCACGGCAUUCUCUCUCCAGGCUAUAUGUACUAUAAAGCAUACAUGUAUCUAGCAGGGGAUAUAUACCUAUGCCAGUCCCUGAUGGUCUUGCCGGAUCGUUAA